rnacentral:tRNA from 1 species
UUACCCGGCACCCGAUGGGACGAUCGUGAAUGGUCUUUUAAUCCAUUGGUUGUGGGUUCGAGUCCCACACGGC